rnacentral:tRNA from 48 species
GUCGGGAUAGCUCAGCUGGUAGAGCAGAG